UUCCCAUACCGAACACGGAAGUUAAGCUCUUCAGCGCCGAUGGUAGUUGGGGGUUUCCCCCUGUGAGAGUAGGACGCCGCCAAGC
rnacentral:rRNA from 1 species